UACUUUACGAGUCUUCCAUGGAUCACACGAAAAUCCACAACAUAUACAACUCUCUAUCCGCCUAUCAGGUACGCUAGAUGGUUAGCCCUGGCAUCUCCACGUUGAAGCCGAGACAUAAGGAGAUCACGUAGGCCGUAGCCAACCCUGAAGUAAGAACCCCAAAAACAAAUAAAGAAAAAGAAGAAAGAAGCGUGGCGUAAAGCUAACAAAGAGUUAAGAGCGUCAGCUCCGCAACGAUCUCAUUUUCCAUUUUUCUUCAAGGUUCUAUUCUUGACUGAGGCGGAGAGGAAGAUGGAAGUGCUGUGAAGAAGAAGAAGAGAGGAGGAAGAAAAGAUUGGGAAACGUGAGAGAUGAGAGGAGAGAGACUUGUGGUAUUUUAGCAUUAAAAUAAAGCAUUGUGUAGCUAUAAUGUAGCCAUUGGUGUAGGUUAAAUUUAGGGUUUCUAAUGUAGGUGUAUUUUUGGUUUUUUUUGAAAUUUUCCUUACACAUAGGGAAUGAAAUGACAUAUAGGGCAUAUGUUGCAAAUGCUCUAGUAGGCUGUAUGUUGUUUUUGAACCCGAUGGUCUUGAGUCUUAUAUACAAGAAAUGUAGCAAAAUUUUCAUUU